UGGGGAAUAUUGCACAAUGGGCGCAAGCCUGUUGCAGCCAUGCCGCGUGUAUGAAGAAGGCCUUCGGGUUGUAAAGUACUUUCAGCGAGGAGGAAGGCGUUGUGGUUAAUAACCGCAACGAUUGACGUUACUCGCAGAAGAAGCACCGGCUAACUCCGUGCCAGCAGCCGCGGUAAUACGGAGGGUGCAAGCGUUAAUCGGAAUUACUGGGCGUAAAGCGCACGCAGGCGGUCUGUCAAGUCGGAUGUGAAAUCCCCGGGCUCAACCUGGGAACUGCAUCCGAAACUGGCAGGCUAGAGUCUUGUAGAGGGGGGUAGAAUUCCAGGUGUAGCGGUGAAAUGCGUAGAGAUCUGGAGGAAUACCGGUGGCGAAGGCGGCCCCCUGGACAAAGACUGACGCUCAGGUGCGAAAGCGUGGGGAGCAAACA
rnacentral:rRNA from 1 species